AACGAACGCUGGCGGCGUGUUUAAGACAUGCAAGUCGCACGGAGUAAGGAAGUAGUAAUAUGACUUUGCUCAGUGGCGCACGGGUGCGUAACACGUGAGUUACAUGCCCUGUAGAGGGGGAUAGCCCAGGGAAACUUGGAUUAAUACCCCAUAGUCUCGCAAGAGUAAAGGUGGCGAAAGCUGCCGCUGCAGGAUUGGCUCGCGGCCUAUCAGCUAGUUGGUGAGGUAACGGCUCACCAAGGCGACGACGGGUACCUGGUCUGAGAGGACGAUCAGGCACACUGGAACUGAGACACGGUCCAGACACCUACGGGUGGCAGCAGUGGCGAAUCAUUCACAAUGGGGGCAACCCUGAUGGUGCAACGCCGCGUGGAGGAUGAAGGUCUUCGGACUGUAAACUCCUGUCAUCUGGGAUCAAGACCUGGCAGUGAAUAGCUGACAGGGUUGAUAGUACCAGAAGAGGAAGGGACGGCUAACUUCGUGCCAGCAGCCGCAGUAACAC
rnacentral:rRNA from 1 species